rnacentral:lncRNA from 1 species
UAUACUAAAAAAAAUAGCCUGCAAUACGGUUAUCACUAAUCUCUAUAUAAUAAAUAAAAAUGUUAAAACCCCCCAAAAAGGUGAAAAACGUGAAAGUGCAGGAAGCUAAUUCAAAAGAAAAAACAUAUUCACACGCAUGAAAGCUAAUUCAAACAAUCUGCAGUAGCAUCGAGCAGUAGCCAUUAACUGAGAAAACUUUAGCAGUAGCCAUUAACUGAGAAAACUUGAUAAGGUGGUUAUCAAAAUAAAGAAAAAACAAUUAACAACAUCAAUUGAAAAAAAAUGAGGCCAAUCAAUAGAUCAAAAGAAAAAUUCAUCCGAAAACCUAGAUCAUCAUCAAUUGUAAA